rnacentral:rRNA from 1 species
UACAGAGGGUGCGAGCGUUAAUCGGAAUUACUGGGCGUAAAGGGCGCGUAGGUGGUUAAUUAAGUCAGAUGUGAAAUCCCUGGGCUUAACCUAGGAAUUGCAUAUGAAACUGGUUGACUAGAGUGCGGUAGAGGGAAGUGGAAUUUCCGGUGUAGCGGUGAAAUGCGUAGAUAUCGGAAGGAACACCAGUGGCGAAGGCGACUUCCUGGACCGUUACUGACACUGAGGCGCGAAAGCGUGGGGAGCAAACAGG